AUGGAGCAGUAAAUAUUUUAUUGGGUCAUCCUUCAUAUCAAUUGUAGUCAUGUCGAGGAAGUUUGUGAAGUAGUAGAAGAUAUAAAUAUUAAAUCAGUGAUGUUCUACCAUGAUCGAAGAAAAACAUAGUGCAUCAAGGUUUUACCAUUAUAAUGCAAAAAAUAUAUUUCUCUACAUAACUGAUUUCUCUUAAUCAAGAAGAAAGUACUCAAAAGCAUUUUCUAUUUCCUACUACGAUCUAAAAUAAUCUUCAACACCGUUGACUUUUUUUUUAUGUGCACUGAUGUAGGAACUUGAGAACAAGCAUAGAAUAGAGAAAAGGAAACACAAGGAUUAGGAGAAAGUUUUUUUUUUU
rnacentral:lncRNA from 1 species